rnacentral:rRNA from 1 species
AUGAUGUUAUUUGCUUGCUCAGGCCUAGCUAUACCAUCCGGGACAACUAAACUAGAGCUGAGAAGAUUUGUGACUUCAAGACGUUUGGUUGAGGAAUUCAAUAAAAACAGAAAUACAGAUGAUAAAUUGAGAUUGAUGUGUGCCUUCCAGAUAAUACGCAUAUGGAUGGGUUCUUGGGACUAUAUGAUAAAGAUAUUGCUAUUGUCACGUCCUGUAAUUGCAGCUGCUCGUAUGUUUGGAUCGGGCCGUUUGAUGGUCAAAUUGGGGCGUCUGACUGGAGACAGUCGUGCAAGAUGUGAUGGAAUCACAGAGGCUGCACUUGGAGGGCCGCUCGUCAGUCAUGAUGGGAAGUUUCUUGGGGUCAUCCUUUGUGUCGAGGGCACUUCUUCUUUGUUCCUAUCACUGAUGGCCCUUCGUGAACGCUUGGAGCACUUUCAGUUACUCAGUUCUAAAACCAGAGACUUCCGUAGAUAUUCCUUGCCUGCAGAUGUAUCAAUCAUAAUCCCUUCAGGAUUCUGGUUUAUAAUUAAGAAGCUAGAGUCAGUUGGCUAUCCCAUGCCACCACCACUUGUGCUUGAAUUCAAUGGGAAAUUGCUCGAGACAUUUGAGGAGGAGUUUGGUGAAUUACUUGCAUGGAAAGGGUAUCCUUACGUCGUUUCAAACCCCUGUUCUAGGGAGUAUGUUUGGGCGCUACUUCCAAGAGACGUUGUUACAAAUAUAUCCCCAAGUGUUGUCAAACUUGCUUCAUUCAAUGGAAACAUCAGGUCUUUUGCAUGCACAGGCUUGCUUAUAAAGUGGCCUGGAGCUGAAGGCACAAACACUGUCAUUCUCACUUCGGCAAGUUUAGUUAGAAGUCGUUAUGAUCACUUCAAGAUUGAUAAUAACUUAACGAUUGACGUGUUUCUCCCACCAAAACAACAUGCCAAGGGGACUUUGGUAUUCUACCAUUUAAAUACUAAUCUUGCUGUUGUCAGUCUUGAGAAGCGUAUCCAUGGCAUUCGUCCAUUUGAUAUUUGCCGUAAAGGGGAUUUAUCUAAACCAGUAGUAGCUAUAGCGCGUAAAAUUGAAGCAGGGUUUUUAAUGGCCUCAAAGGGUGAAGUGAUUUACGGCCAGACCUGCAGCAUUUAUGUCGAAAAGCUUAUGCUUUCCACUUGUAAAAUCAACAAGGCUGGGAUUGGAGGUCCCCUUAUUAACUUUGAUGGGGCAUUUGUUGGCAUGAACCACUAUGAUGGAAGUGAAGUAACUCCUUUCCUGCCAAGGCGUGGGAUUGUUCAAAUUCUGAAAGGAGAGAUUAAUUGGCGAAGACAAAGUGGGCUCUCCAUGGACAUACUGCAUGGUGUUGGAUAUAGGAGUCAGAUAGACCGGCGAAGGUGGCCUGUGCCUGAGCCGUAUUGGCACCAUGAUCUACUUGGUAUGGACAAGUAUGAUUUACACCCGCAUGUUGGAAGACAACUCUAG